UGUGCGUACGCGCUCGCGCGCGCGCGUUAGAAUGUGGAGAGAGGGAGAGAGGCAAGGAGAGAGAAUGAGAGAAAGAAGAGGACAGGGAGAGCACAGAGAGGAAAACUGCAGAAAACCACAGGGAAAGUACGAGCUGACACUUCUUUCUGUACAGUGAAAUGCUUCAGAGAAACACUUUUUUUCUUGAGACAUAUGAAGCUGAUGUGGAAAUUGAAAUGAUAUAGAAAAUCCAGAGUGACCCUUGAAAUAAUAAUAAGAAAACUCAUAUUUAAUUAGGAUCUUGGAUUACUAAAUUCAUCCAAAUCAUCCAUCUGCAAACCUUUACUGAGUGUUUUCUGUGCUUGGGUGCAGCAUCUCAGAGAUAUAGAACUUGAAGAGGAGUUCCUUCCUUCAAAGAACCUAGAUUCUGACUGGGCAAGACUGACAUACAAGAAAAACUAGCCAACAUAAUUGCACUGUGUAAUUACAUAUUAAAUAAUAUGAUGUAAAUUAUUCAUGCUAUAGGCAUGUGCUGUGCAGUAUGGCAGCCACUAGACACAUGUGGCUACUGAACAUUUGAAAUGUAGUUAUUGUUAAUAAAAGUGCUAUAUGUGUAAAAUAUAUCCUGGAUUUUGAAGACUUAGUAUGACGAAGAUAAUGUAAAAUAUCUAAUUAAUAAUUUUAAAAUACUGGGCUGAGGGUGUAGCUCAGUGAUAGAGUUCAUGCUUAGCAUGCAUGAGGUCCUGGGUUCAAUCCUCAUCAUGUACAUACGCAUGUGCGUGCAUGCACACACACACACACACACAAACACACAAAAUGAUUACAUGUUGGGAUACUGUUUUGGAUA